GUGCUCGUUUUGGCAGCACGUACAAUAAAAUUAAGAUGAUACGGAGAAGACUGGGAUGCCCUGUGCAAGGAAGGCACGCAGGAUCCCACAGAGCAUCCAACUGUGA
ensembl:snRNA U6 U6 spliceosomal RNA